rnacentral:rRNA from 1 species
GAGCGGAUUUCUUCGGAACUUAGCGGCGAAUGGGUGAGUAACACGAUUUUAACGUGCCCUCUAGAUUGGAAUAACGCUGAGAAAUUAGCGCUAAUGCCGGAUACUUAUUAUGUUUCGCAUGAAAUUAAUAUAAAAAGGAGCGUUUGCUUCACUAGAGGAUCGGGGUGCGUAACAUUAGCUAGUUGGUAAGGUAAUGGCUUACCAAGGCGAUGAUGUUUAGCGGGGUUGAGAGACUGAUCCGCCACACUGGGACUGAGAUACGGCCCAGACUCCUACGGGAGGCAGCAGUAGGGAAUUUUCCACAAUGGACGAAAGUCUGAUGGAGCGACACAGCGUGCAGGAUGAAGGCCUUCGGGUUGUAAACUGCUGUUAUAAGGGAAGAAAAAACAGAGGAGGAAAUGCCUUUGUCUUGACGGUACCUUGUCAGAAAGCAACGGCUAACUAUGUGCCAGCAGCCGCGGUAAUACAUAGGUUGCAAGCGUUAUCCGGAAUUAUUGGGCGUAAAGCGUCUGUAGGUUGUGUGUUAAGUCUGACGUAAAAACUUGGGGCUCAACCCCAAAUAGCGUUGGAUACUGGCACGCUAGAAUUGUGUAGAGGUUAGCGGAAUUCCUAGUGAAGCGGUGAAAUGCGUAGAUAUUAGGAAGAACAUCAACAUGGCGAAGGCAGCUAACUGGGCACAUAUUGACACUGAGAGACGAAAGCGUGGGGAGCAAACAGGAUUAGAUACCCUGGUAGUCCACGCCGUAAACGAUGAUGAUUAGCUGAUGGGAACCAUCGGCGCAGCUAACGCAUUAAAUCAUCCGCCUGAGUAGUAUGCACGCAAGUGUGAAACUUAAAGGAAUUGACGGGGAUCCGCACAAGCGGUGGAGCAUGUGGUUUAAUUUGAAGAUACGCGUAGAACCUUACCCACUCUUGACAUUUUCCGCA